rnacentral:rRNA from 1 species
UACGUAGGGUGCGAGCGUUAAUCGGAAUUACUGGGCGUAAAGCGUGCGCAGGCGGUUCGUUGUGUCGGCGGUGAAAGCCCCGGGCUUAACCUGGGAAUGGCCGUUGAAACUGGCGAACUGGAGUGGUGGCAGAGGGGGGGUGGAAUUCCGCGUGUAGCAGUGAAAUGCGUAGAGAUGUGGAGGAAUACCGAUGGCGAAGGCAGCCCCUGGGCCAAUACUGACGCUCAUGCACGAAAGCGUGGGGAGCAAACAGGAUUGAG